CCUACGGGUGGCAGCAGUGAGGAAUAUUGGUCAAUGGACGAGAGUCUGAACCAGCCAAGUAGCGUGAAGGAUGACUGCCCUAUGGGUUGUAAACUUCUUUUAUAUGGGAAUAAAACGUUCCACGUGUGGGAUUUUGUAUGUACCAUAUGAAUAAGGAUCGGCUAACUCCGUGCCAGCAGCCGCGGUAAUACGGAGGAUCCGAGCGUUAUCCGGAUUUAUUGGGUUUAAAGGGCGCGUAGGUGGAUUGUUAAGUCAGUUGUGAAAGUUUGCGGCUCAACCGUAUAAUUGCAGUUGAAACUGGCAGUCUUGAGUGCAGUAGAGGUGUGCGGAAUUCGUGGUGUAGCGGUGAAAUGCUUAGAUAUCACGAAGAACUCCGAUUGCGAAGGCAGUUCACUGGACUGCAACUGACACUGAGGCUCGAAAGUGUGGGUAUCAAACAGGAUUAGAUACCCUUGUAGUC
rnacentral:rRNA from 1 species